rnacentral:sRNA from 1 species
UUUUAGUAUAAGUUAUCAAAUUAUAGCUACUCUGAUUUGAUAAAAGAUCUAAUCUAGCUCAUUUCAUUAUAUGUAAUAAUUAGUACUAACAACCAUUGUGGCUGAUUUGUAGAAAGGAUUGUUACUAUACCAAUAAAAAUCCAAGCACACCAAAGCAACUAACUAUAAGCAAAGGCUGUUGAUUUAAUCUCAAAAAGAUCAUAGAGCCUGUCGAAAUGACUUUCAUAAAUUAAGUAAAAUGAGAUUUUAACUCUGCUCAAGCCAACCUAAUUUUACAAAAAUAAUAAUUCUAUCAACUGUCUUUUGCUGCUAAUAAAGCUGCUCAUGUAAAAAAUAACUACUCAAAUUAAAGCUAUAACCUUCAUAAGGUAAUAAUAUAAACUUGUUUCAGCAUUCAGCAUGACCUUUUUGUGUGUUUAAC